rnacentral:lncRNA from 1 species
UAGUCGUUUAAAGAGUUUUGUUUAGGGGGAGAUUUUCUCUCUAAUAGUUUUAUGUUUUCUUUUAUAUUAGGUUUUUAUAUGUAGGUCAAUUGGCCAAACUAUAUAAUCAUCAUGUUUUUAGUAUGUUUUUCUUUUCGUAUGAUUUAUCGUCUCAAUAGUUUACAACUAAUAGCUUCCGCAUGAUGCCCUCUCGAUUUCGAACCCAACAAGUGGUAUCAAGCCUAUGGUUCAAUGAUCUGAUUGUUCAAAUUGAGGACAUGUUGAGAACAAAGUUACAACCAAUUUGAUGAUAAUGAAGAUCUAUGUCCAAAAGCUACAUGUGGAGAUGAUUUGUCAAUCAUAUUUUUAACAAUUCAGCUGUCACAUAUUUGAAAAUAAAGCUCACUUUUAACCCUACAAAAGGGCUCUAAUAUUUUUAACCCGAAAAGGGCUGAUAUAUUUUAACCCAAAAGCUCAAUUUUUAAAGCAUGUCAAGUAGCAGUGAUAUAUGAAGAAUAUAUAUGAAGAACGAAGAUCAUGCACAAGAAGAAGGAGG